GAUAAACGCUGGCGGCGUGCAUGAGACAUGUAAGUCGAACGGAGGACUCGGGCUUGCUCGAGUCCUUAGUGGCGGACGGCUGAGUAACGCGUAGGUGACUUGCCCCGAAGUGGGGAAUAACUGCCCGAAAGGGUGGCUAAUACCGCAUGUGUUCGUACGUUCAUUCGUACGAGGAAAGCCGUGAGGCGCUUCGGGAGAGGCCUGCGUACGAUUAGCUCGUUGGGUGGGGUAACGGCUCACCAAGGCGACGAUCGUUAGGUGGUCUGAGAGGACGAU
rnacentral:rRNA from 1 species